rnacentral:rRNA from 1 species
GAUGAACGCUGGCGGCGUGCCUAAUACAUGCCAGUCGAGCGAACGGACGAGAAGCUUGCUUCUCUGAUGUUAGCGGCGGACGGGUGAGUAACACGUGGAUAACCUACCUAUAAGACUGGGAUAACUUCGGGAAACCGGAGCUAAUACCGGAUAAUAUUUUGAACCGCAUGGUUCAAAAGUGAAAGACGGUCUUGCUGUCACUUAUAGAUGGAUCCGCGCUGCAUUAGCUAGUUGGUAAGGUAACGGCUUACCAAGGCAACGAUGCAUAGCCGACCUGAGAGGGUGAUCGGCCACACUGGAACUGAGACACGGUCCAGACUCCUACGGGAGGCAGCAGUAGGGAAUCUUCCGCAAUGGGCGAAAGCCUGACGGAGCAACGCCGCGUGAGUGAUGAAGGUCUUCGGAUCGUAAAACUCUGUUAUUAGGGAAGAACAUAUGUGUAAGUAACUGUGCACAUCCUGACGGUACCUAAUCAGAAAGCCACGGCUAACUACGUG